rnacentral:rRNA from 1 species
AAUCAACGCUGGCGGCGUGCCUCAGACAUGCAAGUCGAACGAUUAAACUUCCCUUCGGGGAAGAUAUAAAGUGGCGCACGGGUGAGUAACACGUAGGUAAUGUACCUUUGGGUGGGGAAUAACUUAGGGAAACUUAAGCUAAUACCGCAUAAUGCAGCGGCUCCUUCGGGAGACAGUUGUUAAAGAUUUAUCGCCUAAAGAGCAGCCUGCGGCAGAUUAACUAGUUGGUAAGGUAACGGCUUACCAAGGCUACGAUCUGUAUCCGACCUGAGAGGGUGGUCGGACACACUGACACUGAAUAACGGGUCAGACUCCUACGGGAGGCAGCAGUCGGGAAUUUUGGGCAAUGGGCGAAAGCCUGACCCAGCAACGCCGCGUGAAGGAUGAAGUCUUUCGGGAUGUAAACUUCGUAAGAAUAGGAAGAAUAAAUGACGGUACUAUUUGUAAGGUCCGGCUAACUACGUG